rnacentral:rRNA from 1 species
GACGAACGCUGGCGGCGUGCUUAACACAUGCAAGUCGAACGGAAAGGCCCUGCUUUUGUGGGGUGCUCGAGUGGCGAACGGGUGAGUAACACGUGAGUAACCUGCCCUUGACUUUGGGAUAACUUCAGGAAACUGGGGCUAAUACCGGAUAGGAGCUCCUGCUGCAUGGUGGGGGUUGGAAAGUUUCGGCGGUUGGGGAUGGACUCGCGGCUUAUCAGCUUGAUGGUGGGGUAGGGGCUUACCAAGGCUUUGACGGGUAGCCGGCCUGAGAGGGUGACCGGCCACAUUGGGACUGAGAUACGGCCCAGAAUCCUACGGGAGGCAGCAGUGGGGAAUAUUGCACAAUGGGCGGAAGCCUGAUGCAGCAACGCCGCGUGCGGGAUGACGGCCUUCGAGUUGUAAACCGCUUUCGCCUGUGACGAAGCGUGAGUGACGGUAAUGGGUAAAGAAGCACCGGCUAACUACGUG